CAAGUCGAACGAUGAAGUUCCUUCGGGAAUGGAUUAGUGGCGAACGGGUGAGGAACACGUGAGAAACCUGCCUUUCAUUUUGGGAUAACUCCGGGAAACCGGGGCUAAAACCGAAUACUCCGUCUCGGCGGCAUCGCUGAGCCGGGAAAAAAUUUUGAUGAAAGAUGGUCUCGCGGCCUAUCAGCUAGUUGGUGAGGUAAUGGCUCACCAAGGCAACGACGGGUAGCCGGCCUGAGAGGGCGACCGGCCACACUGGGACUGAGACACGGCCCAGACUCCUACGGGAGGCAGCAGUGGGGAAUAUUGGGCAAUGGGCGCAAGCCUGACCCAGCGACGCCGCGUGAGGGAUGAAGGCCUUCGGGUUGUAAACCUCUUUCAGUAGGGAAGAAGCGAAAGUGACGGUACCUAAAGAAGAAGCACCGGCUAACUAUGUGCCAGCAGCCGCGGUAAUACAUAGGGUGCAAGCGUUGUCCGGAAUUAUUGGGCGUAAAGAGCUCGUAGGUCGUUUGCCGCGUCGAUUGUGAAAAUCUGAGGCUCAACCUCAGACCUGCAGUCGAUACGGGCAAACUAGAGUGUGGUAGGGGAGACUGGAAUUCCUGGUGUAGCGGUGGAAUGCGCAGAUAUCGGGAGGAACACCAAUGGCGAAGGCAGGUCUCUGGGCCAUAACUGACACUGAGGAGCGAAAGCGCGGGGAGCGAACAGGAUUAGAUACCCUGGUAGUCCGCGCCGUAAACGGUGGGCACUAGCUGUGAGGACCUUCCACGGUCUUCGCGACGCAGCAAACGCAUUAAGUGCCCCGCCUGGGGAGUACGAUCGCAAGAUUAAAACUCAAAGGAAUUGACGG
rnacentral:rRNA from 1 species